rnacentral:rRNA from 1 species
GAUGAACGCUGGCGGCGUGCCUAAUACAUGCAAGUCGAGCGAACGGACGAGAAGCUUGCUUCUCUGAUGUUAGCGGCGGACGGGUGAGUAACACGUGGAUAACCUACCUAUAAGACUGGGAUAACUUCGGGAAACCGGAGCUAAUACCGGAUAAUAUUUUGAACCGCAUGGUUCAAAAGUAAAAGACGGUCUUGCUGUCACUUAUAGAUGGAUCCGCGCUGCAUUAGCUAGUUGGUAAGGUAACGGCUUACCAAUGCAACGAUGCAUAGCCGACCUGAGAGGGUGAUCGGCCACACUGGAACUGAGACACGGUCCAGACUCCUACGGGAGGCAGCAGUAGGGAAUCUUCCGCAAUGGGCGAAAGCCUGACGGAGAAACGCCGCGUGAGUGAUGAAGGUCUUCGGAUCGUAAAACUCUGUUAUUAGGGAAGAACAUAUGUGUAAGUAACUGUGCACAUCUUGACGGUACCUAAUCAGAAAGCCACGGCUAACUACGUG